rnacentral:rRNA from 1 species
UACGGGAUAAUAUAUUUGAGAGGCAUCUCUUAAAUAUCAAAGGUGAGCCGGUACAGGAUGGACCCGCGUCUGAUUAGCUAGUUGGUAAGGUAACGGCUUACCAAGGCGACGGUCAGUAGCCGACCGGGCGGGGUGAUCGGCCACAUUGGAACUGAGACACGGGCCAAACUCCGACGGGAGGCAGCAGUGGGGAAUAUUGCACAAUGGGCGAAAGCCUGAUGCAGCAACGCCGCGUGAGUGAUGAAGGCCUUCGGGUCGUAAAACUCUGUCCUCAAGGAAGAUAAUGACGGUACUUGAGGAGGAAGCCCCGGCUAACUACGUGCCAGCAGCCGCGGUAAUACGUAGGGGGCUAGCGUUAUCCGGAUUUACUGGGCGUAAAGGGUGCGUAGG